ACACGUGAAAUCCUGUCUGAACGUGGGGGGACCACCCUCCAAGCCUAAGUACUCGUGCAUGACCGAUAGCGAACCAGUACCGUGAGGGAAAGGUGAAAAGCACCCCGACAAGGGGAGUGAAAGAGUACCUGAAACCGGAUGCCUACAAACAGUCGGAGCGCGCAAGCGUGACGGCGUACCUUUUGUAUAAUGGGUCAACGACUUAAUGUGGCGAGCAAGCUUAAACCGAUAGGUGUAGGCGCAGCGAAAGCGAGUCUGAACAGGGCGUUCAGUUCGUCGCAUUAGACCCGAAACCGAGUGAUCUAGCCAUGAGCAGGCUGAAGGUUGGGUAACACCAACUGAAGGGCCGAACCCGUAUCUGUUGCAAUAGAUUGGGAUGACUUGUGGCUAGGGGUGAAAGGCCAAUCAAACUCGGAAAUAGCUGGUUCUCUGCGAAAUCUAUUUAGGUAGAGCGUCAUCCGAAUACCCCGGGGGGUAGAGCACUGGAUGGGUAAUGGGGCCCCACAGGCUUACUGAUCCUAACCAAACUCCGAAUACCCGGGAGUACUAGAUGGCAGACACACUGCGGAUGCUAACGUCCGUAGUGGAGAGGGAAACAACCCUGACCUACAGCUAAGGCCCCCAAUUCAUGGCUAAGUGGGAAAGCAGGUGGGACGACCAAAACAACCAGGAGGUUGGCUUAGAAGCAGCCAUCCUUUAAAGAUAGCGUAACAGCUCACUGGUCUAAAUAAGGGUUUCUGCGCCGAAAAUGUAACGGGGCUAAAGCCAUACACCGAAGUCGCGGGCUCGCAAGAGCGGUAGCAGAGCGUUCCGCAAGUCAGUGAAGGGAUACCCGCGAGGGAUCCUGGAGAUACCGGAAGUGCGAAUGUUGACAUGAGUAACGAUAAAGGGGGUGAGAGACCCCCUCGCCGAAAGUCCAAGGGUUCCUGCUUAAAGCUAAUCUGAGCAGGGUAAGCCGACCCCUAAGGCGAGGCCGAAAGGCGUAGUCGAUGGGAACCAGGUUAAUAUUCCUGGGCCAGGAGGAUGUGACGGAUUGUGGCGGCGUGCGUGCCUUAUCGGAUUGGCACGUAUCCAAGACAGUCCCAGGAAAUAGCCCUCCAUGAGAUCGUACCCUAAACCGACACAGGUGGACUGGUAGAGAAUACCAAGGCGCUUGAGAGAACGAUGUUGAAGGAACUCGGCAAAAUACCUCCGUAAGUUCGCGAGAAGGAGGCCCGGUACACGACUACCGGGGGCACAAACCAGGGGGUGGCGACUGUUUAUUAAAAACACAGGGCUCUGCGAAGUCGCAAGACGACGUAUAGGGUCUGACGCCUGCCCGGUGCCUGAAGGUUAAAAGGAGGGGUGCAAGCUCCGAAUUGAAGCCCAGGUAAACGGCGGCCGUAACAAUAACGGUCCUAAGGUAGCGAAAUUCCUUGUCGGGUAAGUUCCGACCUGCACGAAUGGCGUAACGACUUCCCCGCUGUCUCCAACAUCGACUCAGCGAAAUUGAAUUGCCUGUCAAGAUGCAGGCUUCCCGCGGUUAGACGGAAAGACCCCGUGCACCUUCACUACAGCUUCGCACUGGCAUCAGGCACAACAUGUGCAGGAUAGGUGGUAGGCUUUGAAGCAGGGACGCCAGUCCCUGUGGAGCCUCCCUUGAGAUACCACCCUUGUUCUGCUUGAUGUCUAACCGCGGCCCGUUAUCCGGGUCCGGGACCGUGCGUGGUGGGUAGUUUGACUGGGGCGGUCGCCUCCUAAAGCGUAACGGAGGCGCGCGAAGGUUGGCUCAGAGCGGUCGGAAAUCGCUCGUUGAGUGCAAUGGCAGAAGCCAGCCUGACUGCAAGACUGACAAGUCGAGCAGAGUCGAAAGACGGCCAUAGUGAUCCGGUGGUCCCAAGUGGGAGGGCCAUCGCUCAACGGAUAAAAGGUACGCCGGGGAUAACAGGCUGAUACUGCCCAAGAGUCCAUAUCGACGGCAGUGUUUGGCACCUCGAUGUCGGCUCGUCUCAUCCUGGGGCUGGAGCAGGUCCCAAGGGUAUGGCUGUUCGCCAUUUAAAGAGGUACGUGAGCUGGGUUUAGAACGUCGUGAGACAGUUCGGUCCCUAUCUGCCGUGGGUGUAGGAUACUUGAGAGGAGUUGCCCCUAGUACGAGAGGACCGGGGUGAACGAUCCACUGGUGGACCUGUUGUUGCGCCAGCAGCAGUGCAGGGUAGCUAUGAUCGGACAGGAUAACCGCUGAAGGCAUCUAAGCGGGAAGCCCCCCUCAAAACAAGGUAUCCCUGAGGACCGUGGAAGACCACCACGUCGAUAGGCCGGAGAUGUAAGCGCAGCAAUGCGUUCAGUUGACCGGUACUAAUGGCC
rnacentral:rRNA from 14 species